rnacentral:rRNA from 1 species
UACGGAGGGUGCGAGCGUUGUCCGGAAUCACUGGGCGUAAAGGGCGCGUAGGCGGCCUGAUAAGUAGGGGGUGAAAUCCUGCGGCUUAACCGCAGGGCUGCCUUCUAAACUGUCGGGCUAGAGCACGGUAGAGGCAGAUGGAAUUCCCGGUGUAGCGGUGGAAUGCGUAGAGAUCGGGAAGAACAUCAGUGGCGAAGGCGGUCUGCUGGGCCGUUGCUGACGCUGAGGCGCGACAGCGUGGGGAGCGAACUGG